rnacentral:lncRNA from 1 species
GGAAGCCACUUAGUUGCACCAGGGAAACCAAGUAGUUCUACCAAUACUGUUAGCAGGAUAGACUCAGAGAAUCAGAUCAACAUCGACUUCUUCCACCAGGAAGAAAUGAACUACUUUUCCAAGGAAGCAGAGUUUCUCUCAAGCCAGCUAAGAAAAAGAAAAAUCAAGCAUCGAUAUGGUUGCUUAAUUUUCACAAAGUGACCCAGCUAAGUCACCCAGAGGAAGCUUCUGCAUUCAAACUGGGAUACAAUUCCAAACUCCAUACCCUUUUCAUAAACUGCACCACCUUCUUCUAAUCUUUGUUAGAAAUAUUAUGACACAGCAUAAUGUGUCCUCCUGAUACAGCAGAAUGAUCA